UAUGUACUCCCUCCGUUCCAAAUUACUUGUCACAAGUAUGUAUGUAUCUAGAUGUAUUUUAGUUCUAGAUACAUCCAUUUCUGCGACGAGUAAUUUGGAACGGAGGAAGUAUAAA
rfam:Triticum urartu cultivar G1812 contig420181, whole genome shotgun sequence.